rnacentral:rRNA from 1 species
GAUGAACGCUGGCGGCGUGCCUAAUACAUGCAAGUCGAACGAAACUUCUUUAUCACCGAGUGCUUGCACUCACCGAUAAAGAGUUGAGUGGCGAACGGGUGAGUAACACGUGGGCAACCUGCCCAAAAGAGGGGGAUAACACUUGGAAACAGGUGCUAAUACCGCAUAACCAUAGUUACCGCAUGGUAACUAUGUAAAAGGUGGCUAUACUACCGCUUUUGGAUGGGCCCGCGGCGCAUUAGCUAGUUGGUAGGGUAAAGGCUUACCAAGGCAAUGAUGCGUAGCCGAAUUGAGAGGUUGAUCGGCCACAUUGGGACUGAGACACGGCCCAAACUCCUACGGGAGGCAGCAGUAGGGAAUCUUCCACAAUGGGCGAAAGCCUGAUGGAGCAACGCUGCGUGGGUGAAGAAGGUCUUCGGAUCGUAAAACCCUGUUGUUAGAGAAGAAAGUGCGUGAGAGUAACUGUUCACGUUUCGACGGUAUCUAACCAGAAAGCCACGGCUAACUACGUG